GCAGGGCCAGAUGGCUAUAUAAAAGUAGUGGGAGAUAGAUAUAUUAGCUCAGGCUAAACAAAUCCUGGUACCAGGAUCAGGUUAAAUGGCAGCUGAUCCAGUCACAAUUAAGACACCUGUGGCCAAUUAAGAGCUUUCUAGAAGGCAGGG